CAUAUUACUAUAGUAUUACAGAAGGGACUUUGCUGCCAUCGCUGGUCCUGACGUGACAAGGGGGAAAUGAAAAUUACCAACACGCGAGAAGGACACAUGAGGAGGACACCUGGCAUGAGCGUUCUGUUUCUCGGGAGAGAUGCGAUGAGCGUGAGGAAGCCCGAGGGAGGGCUUGGUGGGGAGUCAGGGAGUAGACACGGCGAUGGUAUGUUCUCCCGUGUUCUUGUUUCCUGCCGUUUCCAUCACCGACCAAGUCAAACCAGAAGUCACAGAGUAAAGACAACUGUUGAUGCAACUCUUUAUGGUCAGGACACAGAGUAAAGUCGAUCUGAAAGAGAGGCGAAGGAUGCCUUCUCCUCAAAACCACUCUGCCUUUCACAAACUGUAGAAAUGAUCCCUGAAAGUACAGUCUUCCACUCUGCCUUUCAGACGUGUAGUGACUCCCAGGCUUUGUGCUCUAUGACGUGGUCUAUCUGUAGCUCUCAAUGUGGAUAUUUCCCCAUCACCUUCACCCCAUCGUGAUGACUCAUUCAAAAUUGAGUUUGGGACCUAGGCUGCCAAAAAUGGUGGCAAUGGGAGGUGAAAUUGCUCAUUUAGCUUCUCCUAUGACAUUCCUGAGCUAUAUACAUAUGGACCUUAUGGUAAAGGAGAGUGGUUGCUGACUGAUAAUAAUCCUUUACCUUUGGGAUCCUGGAUCACAUCAAACUUAGAUGACGUCAGAGUGAUUUGCGUUAAAAUUAGAAAAGUAUGUGAGGAAAUUCUGGGGCAUUCAGUGCCCAUGACGGCAGUGAGGUCACCUCACUUCUUUGGUACUUUCACAAGGAGACUGAGGUUGGAGAUGUGAGGUUUGCUGUAGAAAGUGGAAGGGUAGACGGAACCUCUUAUUUUCAUGGACUAGCAGUGGGUGGUAAAUUCCUGUCAUAACUAAAUAAAUUUUCUUCAUUAGAACUGUGCUACUGGGAUCAUUCUAUUUUGUUCAAUGUCUGAAAGAGCCAGUUCUCAAUGAAUAUAUUAAACAUGAGAGUACCCAAAGAUUAGAAAACUUUGACACAUAUGCAGUAAUAAUAUCUUAGUCGAGUGAAGAGAUGAGCGUGAACAUUCGUAAUUAAACGCAUGUUACCAAGUUCAAAACUAGAGUGGAAAAGAUGAACAGUAGAAGAUAUUUUUAAAGGAAAUUUCUUUACUCCACAUUUAGAAGUCAGUAUUGUUGACAGACAUGGGGAAUUUUAUUCACCCUGAUUAGAGGUUUCUUAGCAUUCAGUAGCCCACCUGCCCGCCUUUCUGCAUGGCUUAAUCACCAGUAGACCUCUAGAAGUCAAUGUUGUUGACACCAUAAGGAGUUUUAUUCACUGAGUGGAAGCUUCUUUUUAUAAUCAGACCAAAUGUAUCUAAUCCGUUUCAUCAGGCAAAGAACCUGUGGCACAGUGGAUAAGGUACCAGCCUAUAGAGAAUCAGGUUUGAGAGAUCACAAUGCUUAUGACCUUUAACGUAGGUCUUAAUUUUUAGAGCAGUUUUAAGAUUAUAGCAAAAUUGAGUUAAUAGAGACUCCCCGUAUACUCCCUAUUGUAGUAGUUUUUAGGUAUGCAUUUCACUUUAGUGAGUUUCAUUUUCAUCUAGUGCGUAGCAGUAGGACCAAACGAGGCAUUUCCAGCUCUUUGGUUAUGGACUCUAUAGCCAUCCACGCUUUGUCCUCAAUAAGUCCCUCUCACUGGCUGCACCACAGCUGAGAUUCUUUACCAGGAUACAACUAGCAUUUUGUCUCAUGUUGCCCCACAUCAUAUAUUCCAGACACUGAGGUGGUGCAUAGUUGAGACUCUCUGUGGACUUCUUGCUUUGAAUUCCUGAACUGCCAUAUCCGGAAGAGUAAAGGAAGGGUUUGGGGAAAGGCCAUCAACUGAAAUAGUGGCACGGACAGGGUUACAGGCACUGUCCUGAGUUUCUCCUGGGGCCCGUGUCUCUAAGGACUGGAAGCAGACUUAUCAGCUCAUCCUUUUUGCUUUGCAUGUUAGAACCAUCUCUUGACAAGAGGGACUCUUCUACCGAGUAGGUGAGGACUGGGAAAGAUGAAAGUGGGAGGUAAUAGAAGAAUAUAGAGGGGGUUUUGAGAGACAGAAGAGAGCAGGGCAGACGCCUCAACUAUGGGAAGGAGGACCAGGAGACGGAUUCAGGAAGGGAGAGGUUCUUAGUUCAUUACGGGACAUAAUUUCUCCACAUCCCUUCACGGUUCACACCCAUGCACACAGCAUUCAAGUCAGACUCAGACGUUCAGGUGAGAGUCGCCCUCUGUGCUCUAGACGUUCAUGGUAUGUGGUCUGUCCAUGAACAGGAAUGCUCACACAGGGGGAAGGACUAGUUCCAGCUAUAACACGAGAGGAAUUCCAGAAUAAGGUGGGGUUACACUAGAGAAGCGUCCUGCUCUCUCCCAAUCCCAAGUACCAGUGAUUUUUAACAUGACCUUACUUAUGAAUUAUGUUUUAAACCACAUAUUAUGUGCAUCCUCGAGAUUCUGGAGUUUAUGAACUCUCUCCACAAACUCCCCUUGCCUCCUGUGGCAGAGUCCAUCGCCAGAUGAUGUGCAUGAGUUUCAAAUGGCAGGAUCGGGAGCAGUAGGAGCUGGACUGUCCACGUGAACCGCUGCAGCAAUAAAGAGCUUGAGAAGUAGCAGAUGGAUCAGACACUAGUGAAUGUAUGAGGUGUAAUGAGUAUUUCUGCUGUCACUUCAGAAUGCUGAUGUGACUGCUCUGGUUCCUCUUUCCCAGAAGUGCCCAAGAUCUCAUUCUCUUUUUGGUGACAUUGCUUUUUUAUCCUGGACUCUGUUUCUUUGUUGUUGUUGUUGUUGUUGUUUAUUUCCCGAAAUGGGCACUGAGUAAAACAAGGUAUAUGUAUGUAGUGCCAUCCUCAGGAUCAGGAGAAUUUCAGAGUGGGUGAACAGGUCGGGACGCACUUUAUGUCUGUGUCUGUACUGAAUCUUUACUGGAUGAAAUGGAGAUGAAGCCGCUGGGAUUCGUCUUCGACUUCUCAGCCGACCGGGGGCACCUUCGUGAGAUCGACACUCACGGAGCUCUUCUCUGCAGGAGGACACGCCACGGUCUCCCGUGUCUUCCUCUUGCCCGUGUCCUCCAGAGAGUUACUGUUACUGUUGGCAUCGUCAUUACUGUUGUUGUCAUCGUCACCACUGUCAUCAUAUUUUACCCACAAUGUCUCCUUUCCCCUUGCACAUCCCGUCAAAUUGCUACUACCUUCCCUUUACAGAGGAGGCAGCUUUGGUACAGAGAGGAGAACAAGAAGGUCAGGUGGUCAAAAUUAAAGUGAAUAAGACAUUGAGACCGGCAUAUAGCUUAGGUUAAUGACGUGGUGGCAGAACCAGAGUAACAGAGUCUAAAGUAGGGAAAGGGUGCAUGGCUGUCGCCUUAAAACCUCAGUCAAGGUUAUUGAGGUGACCAGAGGUGCUUCAGAUUGGCCUCCAGAUCAGCUAUCUUACAAUUUUGGUUUCGGGUUCUUUUUUUUUUUUUUGGUCUUUUUGUCUUUUCAGGACAACACCUGCGGCAUAUGGAGGUUCCCAGGCUAGGGGUUGAAUCAGAGCUGUAGCCACCGGCCUGCACUGCAGCCACAGCAACGUGGGAUCCGAGCUGUGUCUGUGACCUACACCACCACUCACAGCAAAGCUGGAUCCUUAACCCACUGAGCGAGGUCAGCGAUCGAACCUGCAACUUCAUGGUUCCUAGUCGGACUCAUUUCCGCUGCGCCAUGACGGGAACUCCCAUAACUUACAAUUUUCAAUGAAACUUAUGUUUACUCCUUCUUGGCAAUAGUAGAGAGAGGUUAUAAUUUCAGAAUAAAAAUGGGCUGAAUUUACCAAGCAGUGAGAUGGAAAGAACCAGAUUUCGGAAUUUGGAGUAUGGAAUAGAAAUUGGAAAAGAAUCAACAAAAAGAAGGGAUGAUACUGGAAAAUCUGGGUUGUCCUUAGUCCCAGCGUGGACAGGAGGGUGAAGGAGACAGACCGGAAUCUGGGGAGGCGACAAGCCAGGCAGAAGGAGGAAAACGGCAGGGCUGUAACGAGUAUCAGUUCAGACAACAUGUGGGCAGAACUUAAAUGUAACAUGAACAGUCGGAAAGACUAGACGUGGAUACGGAAUUUAUUUAUUUGAUGUCGUGCUUAUGGGUCUUUCACAUCCUAGAAAAGUAUGACGUAUCCCCGGGGAAUAUCUUCUGCAGCCAGGGUUUAUUUACAUGGAAUUAGAGCAGAUUGAAGGGCACUGGAUGUCUCAAAAGACCGAAGGAGACUUUACACGAUGGCAAGAUCGUGACUUAGGUCCACACAGCAGCUGAUAUGUGGAUGUUUAUAGCAGCCUUCUUGGUGAUGGCCAAACGUGAGAAGCAACCAAAAUGCCCUUCAGUAGGAUUAGCAGUAGUCCAUCUAGACAAUGCAAUAUUAUUUCAUGGUAAAAAUACAUGCGUUCUCAAGGCAUAAAAAGAUAGAAGAAAUUUAAAUGCAUGCUAAGUGAAAGAAUCCAGUCUGAAAAGGCUACAUCCUGUAUGAUUCCCACUAUAUGACCUUCUGGAAAACCCAAAACUAUGAAAAUGCUAAAAAGAUCCACAGCUGCCAGGAGUUGGGGGCCAGAGAAAAUAUGUGAUACUGUAAUGAUGGCUACACACCAUUACACCUUUGUCCAAACCCGUGGAAUAUGUAACACCAGGUGUGCCUCUCAUGUGAACUGUUGACUUUGGGGGAUUUUGACGCGUCAGUGUAGGUUCAGCCACUUAACAAAAGGACCGCUCUGGUGAGGGAUGGUGACAGUGGGGGAGGCUGUGCAUGUGGGGGGCAGGGAAGACAUGGGAAGUUGCUAUGCUUCUCAGUUUUGCUGUGAACCUAAAACAGCUCUAAAAAACAAAAGUCUAGGAGUUCCCGUGGUGGCUCAGCAGUAACAAACCCAACUGGUAUCCAUGAGGUUGCAGAUUCGAUCCUUGGCCUUGCUCAGUGGGUUAAGGAUGUGGUGUUGCCCUGAGCUGUGGUGUAGGUUGUAGAUGCAUCUGAGUCUGGUGUUGCUGUGGCUGUGGUGGAGGCCAGCAGCUUCACCUCGGGUUCGACCCCUAGCCUGGGAACCUCCAUAUGCCGUGGGUGCGGCCCUAAAAAGACAAAAAAAAAAAAUUUUAAAUGGGAGAUAAUCUGUCCCAUGAAUUGUAAAUUCUCAAACCAGUAUUUUGAUGAACAAGAAUGCUUGAAAAGUGAUAGAUAAUUGGCUUUGUGAGAGGUGGCUCACCAUUCUUAUUUCAGAGAUGUUUUUCUUGACGACAGAAGAGGUACUAGAAUUUGGUGUCUGAGUAGAAAAAAGAUUUAGUGUCAAAGUGAUUCCCCUAGGAUUUUUGUGGAGCAUUAUUUGGGUUUAUUUUAUCUGGUUUUGGCUUUGAAUCAUGUUUCUACUCUAUCUUUCCACUACCCCUAUCAAUUCUUUUUCUUUUCUUCUCUUUUCUUUUUUUCUGUAGAAAAAGCCAGUCUUUAAAUGACUGAUAAGUCUGAAACAUAAUAGGAAGAAGAUUCUGCAUCUUUAAAAUCAGAUCAGAGUCAGUUGUGCUUUGCUUAACAUUGCAUAUAAAAAUUACAUCUUUUGGCUGCGGCAAAGGCUGGCAGCUAUAGCUCCGAUUUAACCUCUACCCCGUAUGUCACAAGUGUGGCC
rnacentral:lncRNA from 1 species